rnacentral:rRNA from 1 species
UACGUAGGGUGCAAGCGUUAUCCGGAAUUAUUGGGCGUAAGGAGCUCGUAGGCGGUUUGUCGCGUCUGCUGUGAAAACUGGAGGCUCAACCUCCAGCCUGCAGUGGGUACGGGCAAACUAGAGUGCGGUAGGGGAGAUUGGAAUUCCUGGUGUAGCGGUGGAAUGCGCAGAUAUCAGGAGGAACACCGAUGGCGAAGGCAGAUCUCUGGGCCGUAACUGACGCUGAGGAGCGAAAGCAUGGGGAGCGAACAGG